rnacentral:rRNA from 1 species
GACGAACGCUGGCGGCGUGCUUAACACAUGCAAGUGGAGCGACGAACCAGGGCUUGCCCUGGGGCAGAGCCGCGAACGGGUGAGUAACACGUGGGUAACGUGCCCCGAUGAUCGGGACAACCCGGGGAAACCCGGGCUAAUACCGAAUGUGCUCCCCUCACACCAGUGAGGGAUGGAAAGGAAGCUUCGGCCUCCGCAUCGGGAUCGGCCCGCGGCCCAUUAGCUUGUUGGUGAGGUAACGGCUCACCAAGGCUGCGAUGGGUAGCUGGUCUGAGAGGACGAUCAGCCACACUGGGACUGAGACACGGCCCAGACUCCUACGGGAGGCAGCAGUGGGGAAUCUUGCGCAAUGCGCGAAAGCGUGACGCAGCAACGCCGCGUGGGGGAAGACGGCCUCGGUUGUAACCC